rnacentral:rRNA from 1 species
GCAAGUUUGAAACUCAAAGGAAUUGACGGGGGCCCGCACAAGCGGUGGAUUAUGUGGUUUAAUUCGAUGAUACGCGAGGAACCUUACCAAGGCUUAAAUGGGAAUUGAUCGGUUUAGAAAUAGACCUUCCUUCGGGCAAUUUUCAAGGUGCUGCAUGGUUGUCGUCAGCUCGUGCCGUGAGGUGUUAGGUUAAGUCCUGCAACGAGCGCAACCCCUGUCACUAGUUGCCAUCAUUCAGUUGGGGACUCUAGUGAGACUGCCUACGCAAGUAGAGAGGAAGGUGGGGAUGACGUCAAAUCAUCACGGCCCUUACGCCUUGGGCCACACACGUAAUACAUUGGCCGGUACAGAGGGCAGCUACACAGCGAUGUGAUGCAAAUCUCGAAAGCCGGUCUCAGUUCGGAUUGGAGUCUGUAACUCGACUCUAUGAAGCUGGAAUCGCUAGUAAUCGCGCAUCAGCCAUGGCGCGGUGAAUACGUUCCCGGGCCUUGUACACACCGCCCGUCAAGCCAUGGAAGUCUGGGGUACCUGAAGUCGGUGACCGUAAAAGGAGCUGCCUAGGGUAACACAGGUAACUAGGGCUAAGUCGUAACAA